rnacentral:piRNA from 1 species
UGCCAUGCACACACAGCUUCCAGAUA